CCUACGGGAGGCAGCAGUCGAGAAUUUUUCACAAUGGACGAAAGUCUGAUGGAGCGACGCCGCGUGGAGGAUGAAGGUUUUCGGAUUGUAAACUCCUGUCACUGCAGAACAAGGCUGAGUACGUGAAUAGCGGAUUCAGUUGAUGGUAUGCGGAGAGGAAGGGACGGCUAACUCUGUGCCAGCAGCCGCGGUAAU
rnacentral:rRNA from 1 species